GACGAACGCUGGCGGCAGGCCUAACACAUGCAAGUCGAACGAACCCUUCGGGGUGAGUGGCGCACGGGUGCGUAACGCGUGGGAAUAUACACAUAGGUAAGGAAUAACUGCUGGAAACGGUAGCUAAUACCUUAUAAUGACUCCGGUCCAAAGAUUUAUCGCCUAUGAAUUAGCCCGCGUCAGAUUAGAUAGUUGGUGGGGUAAAAGCUCACCAAGUCGACGAUCUGUAGCUGGUCUGAGAGGAUGAUCAGCCACACUGGUACUGAGACACGGACCAG
rnacentral:rRNA from 1 species